GCGGUUUUCUUUUUUCUUGUGUCCCACUUUAUUCCCUGAGCCACAGGGAAUCCGUUUUCUAGUACUUCUCUGUUAUAAAGUCUGCCUGCCUUAGACAAACACAUUUGGAAAAUAGAAGUGCAACCACAAGGAUGUGCAGACCCUAUCAGAAUAAAAUCGUAGAACCUUACCAGUCAUCCGGUAUAAUUUCCACAUUUUCCAGAUGAGGUCCGGGGAAUGAGGUGAUUCGCCCAAAAGCACACUACAAAUUGGAGUCACCAGCAGGUCUGCUAUUUUGCCACUAAACCAAUCUGCCGGUUCAUGCUUCAAGCAAAAGUCCACUGGCUAAUGAUCAGAUGGUGAUAACUGGGAAUAAAGACAAUAAAAUGAGAAAAGCAAAAAGGCUGUUAGCUUGCUAUAACAAGGGAGUCAGCCACCAUCAUUUGUAUUUGGAUGAGACUCAAUGUCAGGCAGAGGAGUGGGUCACACCUUGGCUGUAAAGUGUCCUAACAGCCACCUACUUAUGAUUACUGCUUUCUUACCAAUAACCUCCCCAGCCUGUUGUGUGGCUCCUACAUCUUGAACAAAAGCGACCAAGGCAUACAUCUGUAGGAGACCAGAAUAUGCCACCCCAAAAUAUGCCUCCUUGGCCUAAGGAUUAUUCUGAGCUAGUAAUUUUGAGAAACAGAAGCUAUGAAAACAGCAUAAGCUACCCCUUUGAAAGAGAAAUUCACCCCGGCCACCACCCCGUCUGGGAAGUGAGGAGCGUCUCUGCCCAGCCGCC
rnacentral:lncRNA from 10 species